CACAGGCUGGAGUGCAGUGGCGCGAUCUUGGCUCACUGCAAGCUCCGCCUUCCGGGUUCACGCCGUUCUCCUGCCUCAGCCUCCGGAGUAGCUGGGACUACUGGCGCCCGCCACCACGCCCGGCUAAUUUUUUGUAUUUUUUAAUAGAGACGGGGUUUCACCGUGUUAGCCAGGAUGGUCUCAAUCUCCUGACCUCUUGAUCCCCCUGCCUCGGCCUCCCAAAGUGCUGGCAUUACAGCCGUGAGCCACUGCGCCCGGCCUGUAGCAGUCUCCUGUGAGUCCUGGCUUUGAGCAAAAAUCACCAUCAGAGUCGUUUAUUGGUCGAGAGAAGAGGUCAAAUUCUCAAUCAUACAUUGGACGACCAAUUCACCUUGACAAGAUUUUGAUGUCUAAAGUUAAAGUGCCGCACACAUUUGUCAUCCACUCCUACACCCGGCCCACAGUGUGCCAGUACUGCAAGAAGCUUCUGAAGGGGCUUUUCAGGCAGGGCUUGCAGUGCAAAGAUUGCAGAUUCAACUGCCAUAAACGUUGUGCACCGAAAGUACCA
rnacentral:lncRNA from 10 species